rnacentral:misc_RNA from 1 species
GUGAAUCAUCAAAUUUUUGAACGCAAAUUGCACUUCUUGGUAUUCCGAGGAGUACACAUGCUUGAGGGUCAGUUAAAAAAAUUCGUACAUCUUUGAUGUUGCGGAUCUGAGUAUUCCGAUUUUAUUAAUCGGUUACUUAAAAUUAUUUAUACGUAAUGUGAAGCGUACAAAUUAUAUAGUCGCUAAUCAUUUAUAUUUAUUACAUUACUACUAUACGAUAGUAUUUAGUUGGUGUAUACAUUAUGAAAUUGAACUCAAGUCAUGUGAGAGUACCCGCUGAACUUACGCAUAUCAAUA